rnacentral:lncRNA from 1 species
ACAGACACUCUAUUCGAAAUUUUUUUUCUAUCUGAAUCCAAACAAAAUAAAUUUAUUCGAUAUUAAAUAAAUAUAAAUUUUUAUACGAAUAUAAAAAAUAAAAAUUUAAUAGAUUUCAAUUUUAAUAUGAAUUUUAUUAGUAUUCGGCCCGUGUCUGAAUUAAUUUUAUAUUAUAUAAUAUAUAAAUAAAUAUUUGAUAUUAUUUUUGAGUUUAUAUUUUCAAAAAUUAGAUUUAAUAUAAUAUGUUUUGAAAUAUAGUAAAGAGAAAUAAUAAUUUCGAAUUCGGAUUUUCGGGUUCGAGUUCUGAUUAUGAAUUUUGGUCGGAUUUCGGUUUUGAUAUGGAUUUAUAAAAUCUGCAGGAUUUAUCUUUAACAGUAAUAAGUUUAUCUGCCGAUCUUUUUCGGAGAUCAAUAAAUUAGUAAAUUAGAAUAUAUAUGCUAUAAAGAAGCGGACACAACGCAUGCAGGAUCUAUGAAAAUAGAGAGGGUUUUGGAAAGGCUGAUCUUAUAUUACUAGUGUAAUGACCUGCGCUUCGCGACGGGAGGUCGUAACAUCGAGAGUUAAUAAUAUGACUUACAUUAUAUUUAUUUAUUACGAAACAUGCAGAUAUAUAUAACAUUCACAUUAUGUAAGAUAAAUAGAGACAAACAUACAGAUAUAUAUAACAUUCACAUUAUAUACAACAUUCCUUCACGUAGUUAAAUAAGUAGAGACAAACCUACUCAUUCAUGCACCUGUUUGAUGGUGAACAGCAACACUAUAUAUAGAAAAAAUUGGGGGGAGGAUGCAUGCACUCUAAUGAUAAGAAAGAUAGCAAAAGGACAAGAAAAUAUUCUAUGUAUUAUGGAAUUUUUUGUUUCAUGCAUCCUGUGUUUGAUGUUAAAUAAUAUUGGUAUAUAUAGAAAAAGUUGGGUAGGAUAAAUGCAUCGGAAUGAUAAGAAAAAAAGCAAAAGAAGAAGGAAUAUUCUAUAUAGUAUGAAAAAAUUUUGUAAGAGAAAAGAUUAUCUUGCAGGUGAGAUACUAUUUCUAUUGGACUUAAAAAAGUAAAAGACAAUUUAGGAAUAAUUCAUGGUGAAAUUGGAAUGAAAACAGGAGAUUUAGAAUUUUCUAUAAAGAAUAUAGUUUUUUUUUAGGAGAUACACAGUGUAAAAAAAAUAUUAAACUUUGAAUAUAUGCCGGAAUUAUUUUUCUUAGGCUAGAUUUAAAGUUUCGUGUCAUUCGGACACUCCAAAAGUGAGGACGAAAAAUCUAGUUGGUAGGCCUUUCGGCGACAAAGAAAAGGUUCAGAACUGUAAAAUUAAGAUGACGCUCUUCUGGUUGAUUUUAACUGAUCUUGCGUUUAAAAUCAUUAUUGUUUAACAUGAUAUACAGGGUGCAUGAAACAAAAUGUUCCACAGUACAUGCCCCUUUAACAUAGCCCAUGUGAGUCCAUGCGAGGGAGGGAGAACUUGUGAGGGAGAGAGAGAAAACCCGUAUAAAAAAAAAGCCACGUGGCUCGACGAAGGAACGGCAUUUGGUUUCAACUUUAGUAUAGAGUUUAAUAUUACUCAAAAAAUCG